CCCAGACUCCUACGGGAGGCAGCAGUGAGGAAUAUUGGUCAAUGGGCGCGAGCCUGAACCAGCCAAGUCGCGUGAGGGAAGACGGUCCUAUGGAUUGUAAACCUCUUUUGUCGGGGAGCAAAAGACGCCACGCGUGGCGUUCCGAGAGUACCCGAAGAAAAAGCAUCGGCUAACUCCGUGCCAGCAGCCGCGGUAAUACGGAGGAUCCAAGCGUUAUCCGGAUUUAUUGGGUUUAAAGGGUGCGUAGGCGGUUUUAUAAGUUAGAGGUGAAAUCUCGGGGCUCAACUCCGAAAUUGCCUCUAAUACUGUAGGACUAGAGAGUAGUUGCGGUAGGCGGAAUGUAUGGUGUAGCGGUGAAAUGCUUAGAGAUCAUACAGAACACCGAUUGCGAAGGCAGCUUACCAAACUAUAUCUGACGUUGAGGCACGAAAGCGUGGGGAGCAAACAGGAUUAGAUACCCGAGUAU
rnacentral:rRNA from 1 species